AUUUGGUUGCCUUUCCCGGGGAGAGGUGGCAGGUGCUCAGCUCUGCAGGCGUGGGGGCAAGGAAGGACCAAGCAGCCCGAGAAGAGCAGAGGUGCCCCAUGGGGACCACGAUGACUUGUCACAUGUGCACCAAAGCCAGCCCAAGGCAGGGCCUGUGCAGGGCUUCUGCGGAGCCCUCCUGAGGCUCUAACAUCUAUGAGUGGGCAGCCAGCAUAGGCGCAGGCCCCUGCAGAGAGGAACAGAGACGCCAGGAACACGCUGUCGUCCAAUGCCAGCCCCAAGCGGGGCCUGCUCUGGGUGCAGUGUUGGGAGCAGUCCUGCAGCUCUGAGAUCCAUUAGUUGGAGGUGGGAGAAGUGCCAGAUUCCACUGAUUUGGAACCUGCCCAGUCUGAUUCCGGAGCCGUGACUUACAGCAUAUUGGCUACCAGAAGACACCCAAAGGUUGGCCAAAAACAAAGUUUUCAAAAUACAAAAUGGAUGCUAAGAUUUCAUUACGGUAGACGAAAUGUCUGACAGCUCUUGUAUUUAAACCUACAAGUGGAUCCAGCUAAGAGUGCGGAGGGAGAAGCCGUCCUGCAGCUCUGAGAUCCACGAAGUAGAGGUGGUAGUAGCACCGGACCCCACUGCUUUGGAGCCUGCCCAAUCGAAUUUGGGAGCCAGCGAGGUUCCUGACUGCAGCACAUUGGCCACCAGAAGACACACAAAGACAGGGUUUCACUGUGUUGCCCAGGCUUGUCUCAAACUCCUGGCCUCAACUGAUCCACCCAUCUUGGCCUCCCACUUUGCUGGCAUGAUAAGCAGGAACUACCACACCUGGCCUUUGGAGGUGCUCUAGCUUUGUGUGUUUUGGCUAAUCUUCCUGCACAGCUGUCAGUAAGAUGCUCCUGCAGUAUGGUUCCAAACCUUUCUACACAAUCCUGUGAUAUUUUUACAUGGAAGAGCCUUUUGUUUACUGCAGAGAAGCUAGACAAUUCACAGUUAGUAACCUAAGGCCUAGAAAAUUUUGUUUCUUGAUCAAAACAACUGUUUAUAGAUGCUUGUGGUCCAAAGAUGCAGAUUCCUAAUCAUAAAAAAGAAGAAGUGAUGUCCACUGCAGGCAACCAGGGAGGGAGUUUAGGAUUGUUCUGAGGCCGUGAAAGCCAUUGAAAUUCACCCAUAAGAAGGCAGAGCAAGGGAAUCCACAUGUCUUGAUCCCUCCAUGUGGAGGGUAUAAUUGGGUCUUCAUGAAGGUGCACCACCUUUGGGGUCAGAGAGAAUUGGAUUUGAAUCCCAGUUCCAACACUCACUACAAAGUGAUGGUGAAUGAGUUUUUAAAUCCUCUGAGCCUCAGUUUGCUCAUCUGUAAAAGAAGUGAUUCUUAUGAGGCUUGUAUUAGUUUAGUGUGUAAAAAUCUGGGAAUAAUGCCUGUAAUUUAAAAGACAGGUUGUUAUGAGGCUUCAAUAAGGUAAGUGUGUAAAAAUCUGGACACAAUGCCUUUAAUUUUGUAAUUGUACAAUAUAUGAAGGUGGAGGAUUAUUUUUCUCUCCUUUUAUUUUUAGAACAAGUUUAUACAAUUGGCAUUAUUCCUAUUUUUAAGAUAAUCAAAGGACCAACAAGUUGAAAUAAAUCACCAUACUCACAAAGCAGUUCACAAUAUAUUUACUGGGUAAUUGCUACUUAAAAGUAGCAAUGAUGAUCACAUUGAAAAUCUUGUAUUACGUGGUGGUUUUCUCUUCCACGAGCCUCUUCAUUUGUGGAAACCAUAGAGUCUAAGUUGCUCUAUAAAAGUGUUCAUUAGAAAAAUGUGAUGCACUUAGUGUAUAAAUUUUAGAAAAUUUCCACUGUUAGUCUUGUUAAUUUGAUUGAAUAUGUGCGUUUUGGAUUAUGAAUGUGAAUAUGUAUUGAUAUAUGAAAUAAGACUUGACAUCAUACAGUAAUCUCAGCUCAUGGCAAUGUUUUCUUCUGAAAACACCUGCUGAAAUCUGUAUUAUUUCUAGUUUCCAAAAAAAAUCAGUCACAACGGGGCCAAGGGGAUGUUUGAAUGUCAGAUACUGCAUGAGGCACAUUAGUGUACAGUAAUUUGCGCAUAAUUCAUAUUCAUAAUUCACAGUGAGGAAAUCUGAAAGUUGCUACCAGCUACUAAUAAAUGGAAGGUGGGGCGGGCUGCUGUGGGGAUG
rnacentral:lncRNA from 1 species